rnacentral:rRNA from 1 species
UACGAAGGGGGCUAGCGUUGUUCGGAAUUACUGGGCGUAAAGCGCACGUAGGCGGAUAUUUAAGUCAGGGGUGAAAUCCCAGAGCUCAACUCUGGAACUGCCUUUGAUACUGGGUAUCUUGAGUAUGGAAGAGGUAAGUGGAAUUGCGAGUGUAGAGGUGAAAUUCGUAGAUAUUCGCAGGAACACCAGUGGCGAAGGCGGCUUACUUGGUCCAU